rnacentral:rRNA from 1 species
GAUGAACGCUGGCGGCGUGCCUAAUACAUGCAAGUCGAGCGAACAGACGAGGAGCUUGCUCCUCUGACGUUAGCGGCGGACGGGUGAGUAACACGUGGAUAACCUACCUAUAAGACUGGGAUAACUUCGGGAAACCGGAGCUAAUACCGGAUAAUAUAUUGAACCGCAUGGUUCAAUAGUGAAAGACGGUUUUGCUGUCACUUAUAGAUGGAUCCGCGCCGCAUUAGCUAGUUGGUAAGGUAACGGCUUACCAAGGCAACGAUGCGUAGCCGACCUGAGAGGGUGUUCGGCCACACUGGAACUGAGACCCGGUCCAGACUCCUAGGGGAGGCAGCGGUGGGGAAUCUUCCGAAAUGGGCGAAAGCCUGACGGAGCAACGCCGGGUGGGUGAUGAAGUUCUUCGGAUCGUAAAACGCUGUUAUUGGGGAAAAACAAAUGUGUAAGUAACUAUGCACGUCUUAACGGUACCUAAGCAGAAGGCCCCGGCUAACUACGU